CCCUACGGGAGGCAGCAGUGGGGAAUAUUGCACAAUGGGGGAAACCCUGAUGCAGCAACGCCGCGUGAGUGAAGAAGUAUUUCGGUAUGUAAAGCUCUAUCAGCAGGGAAGAGAAUGACGGUACCUGACUAAGAAGCCCCGGCUAACUACGUGCCAGCAGCCGCGGUAAUACGUAGGGGGCAAGCGUUAUCCGGAAUUACUGGGUGUAAAGGGAGCGUAGGCGGGACGGCAAGUCAGAUGUGAAAACUGAGGGCUCAACCUUCAGACUGCAUUUGAAACUGCUGUUCUUGAGUGAAGUAGAGGUA
rnacentral:rRNA from 1 species